rnacentral:rRNA from 1 species
AUUGAACGCUGGCGGCAUGCCUUACACAUGCAAGUCGAACGGCAGCACGGGUGCUUGCACCUGGUGGCGAGUGGCGAACGGGUGAGUAAUACAUCGGAACGUACCUUAUCUUGGGGGAUAACGCAGCGAAAGCUGUGCUAAUACCGCAUACGCCCUGAGGGGGAAAGCGGGGGAUCGCAAGACCUCGCGCGAUUAGAGCGGCCGAUGCCUGAUUAGCUAGUUGGUGGGGUAAAAGCCCACCAAGGCGACGAUCAGUAGCUGGUCUGAGAGGACGAUCAGCCACACUGGGACUGAGACACGGCCCAGACUCCUACGGGAGGCAGCAGUGGGGAAUUUUGGACAAUGGGGGCAACCCUGAUCCAGCAAUGCCGCGUGAGUGAAGAAGGCCUUCGGGUUGUAAAGCUCUUUUGUCAGGGAAGAAACACCGGCUCUAACACAGUCCGGGAAUGACGGUACCUGAAGAAUAAGCACCGGCUAACUACGUGCCAGCCGCCGCCGUGA